CGUAUCUUCUAAAAUUGUGCAAAAAAUCAAACGUAAUGAUGGUAAACACCUCCGUUUUCGCGUGCAUGCUCGCAUUUUAUUGAUUGGUUUUGAUCAUCACACAUGUAGAUCUCUAGGUGGAUGACUCUUCGUUUUCAAUUGUGAGAUCUUUCAGUGAUUUAUCUUUUAAAAGCUGCUUCUUCUUUGAGAUCCUAAUAACCGUUUUCAUCUCUGCAUAAUGGAACUUUUGUGCUGUAACCAAAACUUUCUUUCUAUACCCCAUUUUCUCUCUGAUCUUUCAAUGUUCAAAAUCUUCAAACCAAAAACUCCUUAGUUUUUGCCAAUUUCUGUCAAACGAAGCUAAGUAACACCCAAUGUAGCCAUAAUUUGAUCCUAAGACCUCUCACUUCUUGCGAUUUGUUCCAUAAUAUUCAUCCUCUUGUAGCACUCUUGAUGCAGUGUUUGCAUAUGAGUUCAAUCUCAUUGAGGGUUCUCUUAGGGGCUUUUCAUCACCGCUUUCUUCCUCUUCCUCUACUUGUGGGCGACGACCAUGGUGAAUGUCUAUCAGAAUACUCGCCUCAAUGUAGUAUGGUGUUUAGAACGUAGAAAGAUGGGCAUAGUACGCAUUCGAUCCAACGACAUAAACUCCUUUAGAAUUGAUGUUCUUGGCCAAGUAUGUUGUACAUCCUUCAAAAUGUUUCUUUUGCCAGGGGUUAGGGCUUGUCUCAUCCAAACCGUUGUACUUAUUUAGUCUUUCUUACUAGGAAUUUGAUAAUGAACAUGUGCUUGUGUGACUACUUUACUUGUCUUCAUAUUCGUGAAAGAUUCUUAAUCCGAUAAUUUUUCGAAAUAAACGAACUUCGAGAAAUAAAUAAGAAAUGAAGCAAAAU
rnacentral:lncRNA from 1 species